AGUGCACACAGUAAGUCAGACUCAGUGGUGCACAGCACACACAGUAAGUCAGAAUCAGUAGUGCACAGCACACACAGUAAGUCAGACUCAGUAGUGCACAGCACAUACAGUAAGUCAGACUCAGUGGUGCACAGCACACACAGUAAGUCAGACUCAGUAGUGCACAGCACACACAGUAGGUCAGACUCAGUAGUGCACAGCACACACAGUAG